GAGUUUGAUCCUGGCUCAGGACGAACGCUGGCGGCGUGCUUAACACAUGCAAGUCGAACGGUAAGGCCCUUUCGGGGGCACACGAGUGGCGAACGGGUGAGUAACACGUGGGUGAUCUGCCCUGCACUUUGGGAUAAGCCUGGGAAACUGGGUCUAAUACCGAAUAUUCCUUGCUGGUCGCAUGGCCUGGUGGGGGAAAGCUUUUGCGGUGUGGGAUGGGCCCGCGGCCUAUCAGCUUGUUGGUGGGGUGAUGGCCUACCAAGGCGACGACGGGUAGCCGGCCUGAGAGGGUGUCCGGCCACACUGGGACUGAGAUACGGCCCAGACUCCUACGGGAGGCAGCAGUGGGGAAUAUUGCACAAUGGGCGCAAGCCUGAAGGAGCGACGCCGCGUGGGGGAUGAAGGGUUUCGAUCCGUAAACCCCUGUCAUUUGUGAACAAUGGUUGCGAUUGAACAUUUCGCAGCUUGAUAGUAAUGAAAGAGGAAGGGACGGCUAACUCUGUGCCUGCAGCCGCGGUAAUACAGAGGUCCCGAGCGUUGUUCGGAUUCACUGGGCGUAAAGGGUGCGCAGGUGGCAUGCCAAGUUUGAUGUGAAAUCUCCGGGCUCAACCCGGAAAAGGCAUUGAAUACUGGUGUGCUGGAGGUUUGGAGGGGGGACUGGAAUUCUCGGUGUAGCAGUGAAAUGCGUAGAUAUCGAGAGGAACACCAGUGGCGAAGGCGAGUCCCUGGACAACACCUGACACUGAGGCACGAAAGCCGGGGGAGCAAACAGGAUUAGAUACCCUGGUAGUCCCGGCCCUAAACGGUGCGUGUUUGCUGUAGGAGGAAUCGACCCCUUCUGUGUCGAAGCUAACGCGUUAAACACGCCGCCUGGGGAGUACGGUCGCAAGAUUAAAACUCAAAGAAAUUGACGGGGGCCUGCACAAGCGGUGGAGUAUGUGGCUUAAUUCGAUGCAACGCGAAGAACCUUACCUGGCCUUGACAUGCAUGUGGUAGAACCAUGAAAGUGGGACGAUCCCGCAAGGGAAGCAUGCACAGGUGCUGCAUGGCUGUCGUCAGCUCGUGUCGUGAGAUGUUGGGUUAAGUCCCGCAACGAGCGCAACCCUUGUGUCCUGUUGCCACCCCCACGAGAGUGGGGAGCACUCUGGACAGACUGCCUCGCUUAAACGGGGAGGAAGGUGGGGAUGACGUCAAGUCAGUAUGGCCCUUACGGCCAGGGCUGCACACGUACUACAAUGCCCGGUACAGAGGGAAGCAAGACCGUCAGGUGGAGCCAAUCCCAGAAAACCGGGCCCAGUUCAGAUUGCCGUCUGCAACUCGACGGCAUGAAGUUGGAAUCGCUAGUAAUGGCGCAUCAGCUACGGCGCCGUGAAUACGUUCCCAGGCCUUGUACACAC
rnacentral:rRNA from 1 species